rnacentral:rRNA from 1 species
UACGAAGGGGGCUAGCGUUGCUCGGAAUCACUGGGCGUAAAGCGCACGUAGGCGGCUUUUUAAGUCAGGGGUGAAAUCCUGGAGCUCAACUCCAGAACUGCCUUUGAUACUGAAAAGCUUGAGUCCGGGAGAGGUGAGUGGAACUGCGAGUGUAGAGGUGAAAUUCGUAGAUAUUCGGAAGAACACCAGUGGCGAAGGCGACACACUGGCCCGUUACUGACGCUGAGGCGCGAAAGCGUGGGGAGCAAACAGG